rnacentral:rRNA from 1 species
GAUGAACGCUGGCGGCGUGCUUAAUACAUGCAAGUCGAACGAAGAAGCCCAGAUUGCUGUGUGGAUUAGUGGCGAGCGGGUGAGUAACUCGCACGUGGACUGCCCUUGUCUAUGGGAUAAGUCUGGGAAACUGAGCGUAAUACUGGAUAUGACUUCUCAUCGCAUGGUGGGGGGUGGAGUGAUUUAGUGGUCUUCGAUGGACUCGCGGCCUAUCAGCUUGUAGGUGAGGUAUUGGCUAACCAACGCGUCGACGGGUAGCCGGCCUGAGAGGUUGACCGGGCACACGAGGACUGAGACAGGCACCAGAAGCCUACGUGACGCAGUAGUGGGGAAUAUGGCGCAAUGAGCGCAAGCCAGAUGCAACGACGCCGCGUGAGUGAUGACGGCCUUCUAGUGGUAAACCUCUGUCAGAAGGGAAGAAGCGGGAGUGACGGUACCUGCAGAAGAAGCGCCGGCUAACUACGUG